UUAUGGCCACAUCAUGUUGAAAACACUGAUUCCUGUAUGAUCACUAAAGUUAAGCAAUGUCGAGCCUGGUCAGUACCUACAAGGGUGACCGCUUGUGAAUACCAGGUGGU